UACGUAGGAUGCGAGCGUUGUUCGGAAUUACUGGGCGUAAAGGGCGCGUAGGCGGCUCGCUAAGUCGGAUGUGAAAACUCUGGGCUCAACCCAGAGCCUGCAUUCGAAACUGACGAGCUGGAGUUCCGGAGGGGAAAGCGGAAUUCCUGGUGUAGCGGUGAAAUGCGUAGAUAUCAGGAGGAACACCGGUGGCGAAGGCGGCUUUCUGGACAGAAACUGACGCUGAUGCGCGAAAGCUAGGGGAGCAAACAGG
rnacentral:rRNA from 1 species